rnacentral:piRNA from 1 species
CACAGAACGUAGACAGAGCAUCUGAGGCCGC